UGCAGUCGAGCGGUAAGGCCUUUCGGGGUACACGAGCGGCGAACGGGUGAGUAACACGUGGGUGAUCUGCCCUGCACUUCGGGAUAAGCCUGGGAAACUGGGUCUAAUACCGGAUAUGACCUCAGGUUGCAUGACUUGGGGUGGAAAGAUUUAUCGGUGCAGGAUGGGCCCGCGGCCUAUCAGCUUGUUGGUGGGGUAAUGGCCUACCAAGGCGACGACGGGUAGCCGACCUGAGAGGGUGACCGGCCACACUGGGACUGAGACACGGCCCAGACUCCUACGGGAGGCAGCAGUGGGGAAUAUUGCACAAUGGGCGAAAGCCUGAUGCAGCGACGCCGCGUGAGGGAUGACGGCCUUCGGGUUGUAAACCUCUUUCAGCAGGGACGAAGCGCAAGUGACGGUACCUGCAGAAGAAGCACCGGCUAACUACGUGCCAGCAGCCGCGGUAAUACGUAUGGUGCAAGCGUUGUCCGGAAUUACUGGGCGUAAAGAGUUCGUAGGCGGUUUGUCGCGUCGUUUGUGAAAACCAGCAGCUCAACUGCUGGCUUGCAGGCGAUACGGGCAGACUUGAGUACUGCAGGGGAGACUGGAAUUCCUGGUGUAGCGGUGAAAUGCGCAGAUAUCACGAGGAACACCGGUGGCG
rnacentral:rRNA from 1 species